UAUUGGUCAAUGGCCGGAAGGCUGAACCAGCCAAGCCGCGUGAGGGAGGAAGGCGCAGAGCGUCGCAGACCUCUUUUGCCGGGGGACAAAAGGCCGGACUUGUCCGGUCCUGAGGGUACCCGGAGAAAAAGCAUCGGCUAAAUCCGUGCCCGCAGCCGCGGUAAUACGGAGGGUGCGAGCGUUAAUCGGAAUUACUGGGGGUAAAGCGCUCGUAGGCGGUAUGUCAAGUCAAGGGUGAAAUCCCCGCGCUCAACGUGGGAACUGCCUUUGAAACUGGCAAACUGGAGUGUGUGAGAGGAUAGUGGAAUUCCAGGUGUAGGAGUGAAAUCCGUAGAUAUCUGGAGGAACAUCAGUGGCGAAGGCGACUAUCUGGCACAUAACUGACGCUGAGGAGCGAAAGCGUGGGUAGCAAACAGG
rnacentral:rRNA from 1 species